AUCCAGACUCCUACGGGAGGCAGCAGUGAGGAAUAUUGGUCAAUGGGCGGGAGCCUGAACCAGCCAAGUCGCGUGAGGGACGACGGUCCUAUGGAUUGUAAACCUCUUUUGUCGGGGAACAAAGGCGUCCACGGGUGGGCGGAUGAGUGUACCCGAAGAAAAAGCAUCGGCUAACUCCGUGCCAGCAGCCGCGGUAAUACGGAGGAUGCGAGCGUUAUCCGGAUUUAUUGGGUUUAAAGGGUGCGUAGGCGGACAGUCAAGUCAGCGGUAAAAAUGCGGUGCUCAACGCCGUACAGCCGUUGAAACUGGCGCUCUUGAGUGGAAGAGAAGUAUGCGGAAUGCGCAGUGUAGCGGUGAAAUGCUUAGAUAUUGCGCAGAACUCCGAUUGCGAAGGCAGCAUACCGGCGGCGAUCUGACGCUGAGGCACGAAAGCGUGGGUAUCGAACAGGAUUAGAUACCCCGGUAC
rnacentral:rRNA from 1 species